CUUCAGGUUGGCACGUCGGCUUCUCUGCUGUCUGGAUGAAUCGUCCGACGGGGAAGGAGACAAUCGUCCGCUCGUCCCGCAUUGUUUUGCAUCGGCGCUGGCGCGCACGAUGGUGAAAAUCAUCAGAUCUGCAGAAACUCACUCAGCAAUUGAGCAGCAGCAGCAGCUCCACCCUCCUAAGCAAUGCGAAGCCUUCUUGCCACGUUGUUACAUCACGUCCAACACAAAUCGUUCCGGUGCCAGUUGGACCCUUUCAAGCCGUGAUGGUCUUUGUUGUUCUACUUUGGUGUGGUCCCACCUCGCUACUGGAGGAGCCUUGCACAAUUAUCAGGUAUGUUGAACCGUUUACGUCCUCCCCGAGGGGCAAACGUGCAAAAACUCAACCGUCCACACCCUUUUUGUUUGUGUCGAGGUGAGGCAGACAUGCCCAAAGUGCCCAGACUAUAAUUAUGCAUCCACUUGUGUAAGUAAAUAAAUAAAAAGAAAGAAAGUUGAAUAAUUAAAUAACUAACUAAAUUAAUUGAUAGAUAAACAUAUGAAUUGAUUAAAUUAAAUAUCAAUCUAAUAAACAUUAAAUAAAUAAUGGAUAUGCACUCACCCUAGA